rnacentral:lncRNA from 1 species
GCCAUAUUUGAAAUAGUCUAUUCCUUUGUUCGUCAUUUAGGCUGUAUUUGUCCACAUUUGACUCAAACAUUUCAGCAUUAGUAAAUGCAUCCACUGACGUGUCAUAAACUGGAAUACAUUUCACAAUUUUCAUUAAUUGUUCAUGGAUUUUCAAAUUAAGUUUUGCAGCUCUGUCUUGAAAUUUACAUUUCUGCAAAUCACUCUGUGAGGAUACAUUUUCAGUAUCUAUUGGUUCUGGGAUUAGAU